CUGGGGUUGCCACCAGCAUCCUUGUGAGAACAGAUGUUCUGGUCUCGACUUUGGCGCAUGCUAAACAGCCGGACGAUAGUACCUGGCCACCUGAAAGAACCCGGCUCGAGAACUUACGGCACAGAGCUCUGUAGGCCUAGCGGCAGCCCCGACAUUUAUAGCGGAGACCUGGCAGUGGGACUGAGAAGACCUUGGAUGACGGUUCUGUAUUAAAAACUAGGACACAAGCACGCUCAUUAACCUGGGCCACGGCGGGCAGAGAGCCUCAGCA